rnacentral:misc_RNA from 1 species
GUAGGUGAACCUGCGGAAGGAUCAUUAUUGAAUAAACUUGAACAGGCUGUUGCUGGUCCCCUCGGGGGUAUGUGCACGCUUGUCAUCUUUAUAAUUUCUCCAACCUGUGCACACACUUGUAGACCCUGAAUGAAUUUCUAUUCGAGUUGGGGACUGCUGCGCUCACAAUUAAAAGCCGGCUUUCCCUUGUAUUUUUCAGGUCUAUGUCAUUUUUUCACAACCUCUAGAACAUGUUUAGAAUGUUGAAUCAGGUCUUUGUACCUAUAAUAAAAGUUAUAUACAACUUUCAGCAACGGAUCUCUUGGCUCUC